UACAGAGGGUGCAAGCGUUAAUCAGAAUUACUGGGCGUAAAGCGCGCGUAGGUGGUUCGUUAAGUUGGAUGUGAAAUCCCCGGGCUCAACCUGGGAACUGCAUCCAAAACUGGCGAGCUAGAGUAUGGCAGAGGGUGGUGGAAUUUCCUGUGUAGCGGUGAAAUGCGUAGAUAUAGGAAGGAACACCAGUGGCGAAGGCGACCACCUGGACUGAUACUGACACUGAGGUGCGAAAGCGUGGGGAGCAAACAGG
rnacentral:rRNA from 1 species